GCCGUCAUAGCUCAGUUGGUAGAGCAGCUGACUUGUAAUCAGCGGGUCGUGGGUUCGAAGCCUGCUGGCGGCACCA
rnacentral:tRNA from 1 species